GACGAACGCUGGCGGCGUGCUUAACACAUGCAAGUCGAACGGAAAGGCCCUGCUUUUGUGGGGUGCUCGAGUGGCGAACGGGUGAGUAACACGUGAGUAACCUGCCCUUGACUUUGGGAUAACUUCAGGAAACUGGGGCUAAUACCGGAUAGGAGCUCCUGCUGCAUGGUGGGGGUUGGAAAGUUUCGGCGGUUGGGGAUGGACUCGCGGCUUAUCAGCUUGUUGGUGGGGUAGUGGCUUACCAAGGCUUUGACGGGUAGCCGGCCUGAGAGGGUGACCGGCCGCAUUGGGACUGAGAGACGGCCCAGACUCCUACGGGAGGCAGCAGUGGGGAAUAUUGCACAAUGGGCGGAAGCCUGAUGCAGCAACGCCGCGUGCGGGAUGACGGCCUUCGGGUUGUAAACCGCAUUCGCCUGUGACGAAGCGUGAGUGACGGUAAUGGGUAAAGAAGCACAGGCUAACUACGUG
rnacentral:rRNA from 1 species